GAUGAACGCUGACAGAAUGCUUAACACAUGCAAGUCAACUUGAAUUUGGGUUUUUUAACUUAGAUUUGGGUGGCGGACGGGUGAGUAACGCGUAAAGAACUUGCCUCACAGCUAGGGACAACAUUUGGAAACGAAUGCUAAUACCUGAUAUUAUGAUUAUAAGGCAUCUUAGAAUUAUGAAAGCUAUAUGCGCUGUGAGAGAGCUUUGCGUCCCAUUAGCUAGUUGGAGAGGUAACGGCUCACCAAGGCGAUGAUGGGUAGCCGGCCUGAGAGGGUGAACGGCCACAAGGGGACUGAGACACGGCCCUUACUCCUACGGGAGGCAACAGUGGGGAAUAUUGGACAAUGGACCAAGAGUCUGAUCCAGCAAUUCUGUGUGCACGAUGACGUUUUUCGGAAUGUAAAGUGCUUUCAGUUGGGAAGAAAAAAAUGACGGUACCAACAGAAGAAGUGACGGCUAAAUACGUG
rnacentral:rRNA from 1 species